rnacentral:SRP_RNA from 1 species
GCCAGGCGUGGUGGUGAGCACCUGUAAUCUCAGCUACUCGGGAGGCUGAGGCAGGAGAAUCGCUUGAACCCAGGAGGCAGAGGCUGCAGUGAGCCGAGGUCACACCACUGCACUCCAGCCUGGGUGACAGAGCGAGAUCCUGUCUCAA